rnacentral:rRNA from 2 species
CCAUGAGAUCGUACCCUAAACCGACACAGGUGGACUGGUAGAGCAUACCAAGGCGCUUGAGAGAACUAUGUUGAAGGAACUCGGCAAAAUACCUCCGUAAGUUCGCGAGAAGGAGGCCCAGUUUCUACGCAAGUAUUGACUGGGGGCACAAACUAGGGGGUGGCGACUGUUUACUAAAAACACAGGGCUCUGCGAAGUCGCAAGACGACGUAUAGGGUCUGACGCCUGCCCGGUGCCUGAAGGUUAAAAGGAGGGGUGAGAGCUCUGAAUUGAAGCCCAGGUAAACGGCGGCCGUAACUAUAACGGUCCUAAGGUAGCGAAAUUCCUUGUCGGGUAAGUUCCGACCUGCACGAAUGGCGUAACGACUUCCCCGCUGUCUCCAACAUAGACUCAGCGAAAUUGAAUUGCCUGUCAAGAUGCAGGCUUCCCGCGGUUAGACGGAAAGACCCCGUGCACCUUUACUACAGCUUCGCACUGGCAUCAGACACAACAUGUGCAGGAUAGGUGGUGGGCUUUGAAGCGACGACGCUAGUUGUCGUGGAGCCUCCCUUGAGAUACCACCCUUGUUCUGUUUGAUGUCUAACCGCGAUCCGUUAUCCGGAUCCGGGACCCUGCGUGGCGGGUAGUUUGACUGGGGCGGUCGCCUCCUAAAGCGUAACGGAGGCGCGCGAAGGUUGGCUCAGAGCGGUCGGAAAUCGCUCGUUGAGUGCAAUGGCAGAAGCCAGCCUGACUGCGAGACUGACAAGUCGAGCAGAGUCGAAAGACGGCCAUAGUGAUCCGGUGGUCCCGAGUGGAAGGGCCAUCGCUCAACGGAUAAAAGGUACGCCGGGGAUAACAGGCUGAUACUGCCCAAGAGUCCAUAUCGACGGCAGUGUUUGGCACCUCGAUGUCGGCUCAUCUCAUCCUGGGGCUGGAGCAGGUCCCAAGGGUACGGCUGUUCGCCGUUUAAAGAGGUACGUGAGCUGGGUUUAGAACGUCGUGAGACAGUUCGGUCCCUAUCUGCCGUGGGUGUAGGAUACUUGAGAGGAGUUGCCCCUAGUACGAGAGGACCGGGGUGAACGAUCCACUGGUGUACCAGUUGUUCCGCCAGGAGCAGUGCUGGGUAGCUAUGAUCGGACAGGAUAACCGCUGAAGGCAUCUAAGCGGGAAGCCCCCCUCAAAACAAGGUAUCCCUGAGGGCCGAGGUAGACCACCUCGUCGAUAGGCCGGAGAUGUAAGUGCAGCAAUGCAUUCAGUUGACCGGUACUAAUUGCCCGAUAGGCUUGAU